AGUCACUUUCCCCAUAUGUUAGCUGUCUCCACCCUGUGUUAUCAAAAAAAAAAAAAAAAAAAAACCUCUAACAGAAUUUGAUUUCCAUCCAGCUCACCAGGAACUUUAAAUCCCCCUGUCUGGAUCCUUUAUCGGACACUGGUCCGCUAGACAGUCUCUCUGAGGAGCACGAUCCUGACAGUUUCCACCUAAAUGCCCUUGGGGAGGCCCUGGGGUCUUCCUCAUCCUUCACACAGAAAGAUUGAGAUCAAUGGCAUGGCCUCUACCAGCAGCCAGAAACAUAAAUUUACUUCCCUUCUAUUCUCCUGAACAAACUGAGGCCUGUGGAUGGUGGGUGGAUGGAUGGAUGGGUGGAUGGGUGCACGAAUAGAUGCAUGGAUAGACUGAUGGAUGGAUCAAUAGGUAGACAAGUGGAUGAAUACAUGGGUGGAUGGAUGGAUGAAUGGAUGGGUAGAUGGAUGGAUAGGUAGAUGGGUGGAUGAAUGGAUGAAUGGGUAGAUGGACAGGAAGAUGGGUGGAUGGAUGGGUGGACACGUGAGUGAAUGGAUGGAUGGGUAAUUGGAUGGAUGGAUGGAUGGAUGGAUGGAUGGAUGGAUGGUUAAAUGAGUACAUGGUGGAUGAAUGGAUAGUUAGGUGGAUGAAUAAUUGACUGGGUGGAUGGAUGGAUGGAU
rnacentral:lncRNA from 10 species